rnacentral:rRNA from 1 species
AGUGAACGCUGGCGGUAGGCCUAACACAUGCAAGUCGAACGGCAGCACAGGAGAGCUUGCUCUCUGGGUGGCGAGUGGCGGACGGGUGAGGAAUACAUCGGAAUCUACUCUGUCGUGGGGGAUAACGUAGGGAAACUUACGCUAAUACCGCAUACGACCUACGGGUGAAAGCAGGGGAUCUUCGGACCUUGCGCGAUUGAAUGAGCAGAUGUCGGGUUAGCUCGUUGGCGGGGUAAAGGCCCACCAAGGCGACGAUCCGUAGCUGGUCUGAGAGGAUGAUCAGCCAGACUGUAAAGGAGACACGGUCCAGAGUCCUACGGGAGGCAGCAGUGGGGAAUAUUGGACAAUGGGCGCAAGCCUGAUCCAGCCAUACCGCGUGGGUGAAGAAGGCCUUCGGGUUGUAAAGCCCUUUUGUUGGGAAAGAAAUCCAGCUGGCUAAUACCCGGUUGGGAUGACGGUACCCAAAGAAUAAGCACCGGCUAACUUCGUGCCAGCAGCCGCGGUAA